rnacentral:sRNA from 1 species
GCCGGGUGUGGUGGCUCACACCUGUAAUCCCAGCAGUUUGGGAGGCUGAGGUGGGCGGAUCACCUGAGGUCAGGAGUUUGAGACCAGCCUGGCCAACAUGGUGAAAUCCCAUCUCUA